rnacentral:rRNA from 1 species
AGCAGUAGCCGCGGGAAAACGUAGGGUGCGAGCGUUAAUCGGAAUUACUGGGCGUAAAGCGUGCGCAGGCGGUUAUAUAAGACAGAUGUGAAAUCCCCGGGCUCAACCUGGGACCUGCAUUUGUGACUGUAUAGCUAGAGUACGGUAGAGGGGGAUGAAUUCCGCGUGUAGCAGUGAAAUGCGUAGAUAUGCGGAGGAACACCGAUGGCGAAGGCAAUCCCAUGGACCUGUACUGACGCUCAUGCACGAAAGCGUGGGGAGCAAACAGGAUUAGAUACCCCAGUAGUCCCUGUCUCUUAUACA